CUUGAAUUUGAGUACUAGAUGCCCAAAUUACCAGUGCCCUGUAGAGAACCUAAACAAAUUAGGAGACCAACAAUGGCUGAUCUGUGAUCUUCUGAUGUGAGUAUAACAAGGAUUGUCACUCCUUGGCACCUGAGUAGUUAUUUUCAAAACACAUUCGCGUACC
rnacentral:lncRNA from 1 species